GACGAACGCUGGCGGCGUGCUUAACACAUGCAAGUCGAACGAUGAAGCACCAGCUUGCUGGUGUGGAUUAGUGGCGAACGGGUGAGUAACACGUGAGUAACCUGCCCCUCACUCUGGGAUAAGCCUGGGAAACUGGGUCUAAUACUGGAUACGACCGAUCUCCGCAUGGAGUGUUGGUGGAAAGUUUUUGUGGUGGGGGAUGGACUCGCGGCCUACCAGCUUGUUGGUGGGGUAGUGGCCUACCAAGGCGACGACGGGUAGCCGGCCUGAGAGGGCGACCGGCCACACUGGGACUGAGACACGGCCCAGACUCCUACGGAGGGCAGCAGUGGGGAAUAUUGCACAAUGGGCGAAAGCCUGAUGCAGCGACGCCGCGUGGGGGAUGACGGCCUUCGGGUUGUAAACCUCUUUCACCAGGGACGAAGCUAACGUGACGGUACCGGGAGAAGAAGCACCGGCUAACUACGU
rnacentral:rRNA from 1 species